CUGAUGGGGUAGGAUGGACCGGGGCCAUGGUUGGGGGUUGGGGGUCAGUUAAGGAAGACGUCAUGGAGGAGGUGGGUUUAUUCUAAGGGGCGUAGAGGGAGGGAGGAACGUGGUUGGCAGAUUUGUUGGCAGGGGGAGUUCCAGGCAGGGAAAGAGGGUGAGCAGUGAUUUGGAGAUGAGAGUCGCAAAUGAGGAAGAAUUAGAUGAUGCACUGGGGAGGAGCACAGAGAAGGAGCCGGGCCAGACUGGGAGAACGGAGCCGUGACUAAGGGGGGGAACGGUUGGCGGAGAGCCUGGAAGCUGAAGCCUUUUGGAGGGAAGGGGGUUAGGACAGUGGGUGUCCCGUGGUGAGGACCUCCCUUCCCCUUCCCGUGGCACAGAAGAGCCAGGGCGGUUACGAAGAAUGAGCCCAAGAAAGGGGCUGCCCCCUCCCCCACCCCCUUCAGAACCCUGGGCUUUAUUUCCUAGGCAAACGGUCAGGGGGACGGGUGUCCAGUGAGACCUCUGACCUCUCCCCCGGGCCCCAUCCCCUCCUCUCCCAGGCACGGCUCCGGAAAGGAUGUCGGGGCCGAGGUGAGCGUUCCCCACGGGGGUGGUGGUCACAGGGUCCCGCUGACAGUCCGCACUUGAACGACGCUCCUUCUCCACGGGGAGUCCAGGCCCAGAGUAGGGAAGGGAUCGGUUCAAGGUCAAACGAUAAGGUGCCCACGAGAGGCCAUCAGCGCCCUUACCCAUGAGAACUUUCCUUGUCAGUAAUCAGUCUCGGGGACAGAAAUCACCUCGGCUCCCGGUUAAAAGGGUCGCGCGUGGAACUGGCAAUGUGGAUCUGCCUGAGGGGACCCCGGACAGGAGACCUCAAUCCUGACGGCAUCGUCCGGUAGGGGAGGCCCCCAUCCCACCUCAGUUCCUCGGGCGCCAGAAGCCUCUGGCUCCUUGCCCUACUUUGACCCCGGGACUGACUUUCCGGCCACCAACCUGGGCCCCCCAAAAGCCCAGGCUGUAGAAAGUCGGCGUGCCCCCCGCCCCCGAGACCAAACAGCUGGCAGGGUGCCCGGGUGUGUAGCGGGGAGAGGGCGGAGCGUCACUGGGGCAGCCUCUUCGCCCAGCCGCGACCCGCUCCCCAGCAGGAAAACAGUUAAAAUCACCGGACGUUCUCAGGCUCUUCCAGCUGAGGAUUCGGAAAUCUCCGGCGGGAUUAAAUUCCCCUCAACGGCUAACGCAAACCAGAGCCCUUCACCCGAGCAUUCCCGCCCCUCAGCAGGCCGCCGGGCCUCUCCAUCCGGGCCCCGCCGGGCCCCGACCCCGGGGGGGGAGGGAAGCAGAAACGGGCGAUCGGGGAGGAGAAAGGACGGGACUCACCCGGGAGGAGCCUCCAUCGGAACCAGGCGAGGCAAGGCUCUGGCCUGGGCUGCUCUGAUUUCCUCCUGGCCGAGAGGCUAUUACUAUUAUUUCUACCGAUCGCCGGGAUGGUGGAAAGUAUGGGAAGCAGGACGGAACGGCCAGCACCCAGACAUCAGCUGUCAAUCGUGUGAACUCCUGGAUCAACCCGGAUCCACACGUGAGGAAACUCUACGACCGACUGGCUCCCUGAUCUCCCAUCCUAACAUUUUCAGAUCAACAGGGGGUGACCUCCCCACGAAGGAGUGUCUGAAGAAUGUUCUUGUGCAUCUGCCUCUCUGAAUUGGCAGUGAGGAGCCGGGAGAAGCAGCCGGGGAAGCGGAAUGCAGAGCCAACAGUCCCCCCCAUCUCUUUUAUUUCUGCCUCCAGCUCCCCCCGGCCCCGUUUCCCCCUCUCUUCCCUUCUUGCUGUUUCCCCCAGCUCUCCCCUCGCUUCUCCCCCUCCUUCUCCAUUCCUGUCUCUGUCUUUUCCACUUUGCCUUCCUCCUAACCCCAAUUCCCCCCCUCCCAUUUUGCAAAAGAAGCAUGGAGUAGCGAUGAUGACGAGGACAAUGAUGAGGGUAUUUGUUAAGCGCUUACUAUGUGCCAGGCACUGUUCUAAGCACUGAUGGAGCACGGGCCUGGGAGUCAGCACGUCAUGGGUUCUAAUCCCGGUUCUUUCCCUUAGCUGUGUGACCUUGGGCAAGUCACUCGACAGCAUGGUUCAGUGGAAAGAGCACGGGCUUAGGAGUCAGGGGUCAUGGGUUCUAAUCCCCACUGCCACCUGUGUGACUUGGAACACUUCUCGGUGCCUCAGUUCCUUCAUCUAUAAAAUGAGGAUGAAGACCGUGAGUCUCAGGUGGGUCAACCUGAUUACCCUGUAUCUACCCCAGCGCUCAGAACAGUGCUCGGCACCAAGUAAAUGCUUAAAACAUACCAACCGACAUUAUUAUUAUUACUGGACGUCUCUUCAACCUGUUACCUCAUCAGUAAAAUGGGGAUGAAGACCGUGAGCCUCACGUGGGCCAACCUGACUACCCCGUAUCUCCCCCAGCGCUUAGAACAGAGCUUGGCACCUAGUAAGUGCUUAACAACUACCAACCAACAUUAUAUUAUUAUUACUUGACGUCCCUUCGACUCAAGUUGCCUCAUCCCUAAAACUGUAAGCCCGUCACUGGGCAGGGAUGGUCUCUACCUGUUGCCGAAUUGUCUAUUUAAUGUUGGUAUUUGUUAAGCGCUUCCUAUGUGCAGAGCGCUGUUCCAAGCGCUGGGGUCGAUACAGGUAAUCAGGUUGUCCCACGUGGGGCUCCCAGUCUUCAUCCCCAUUUUACAGCUGAGGCCACUGAGGCCCAGAGAAGUGAAGUGACUCACCCACAGUCCCCCAGCUGACAAGUGGCAGAGCUGGGAUUCGAACCCCCGACCUCUGACUCCCAAGCCCGUGCUCUUCCCACUGAGCCAUGCCGCCCACUAUAUUCCAAGCGCUCCGUGCGGUGCUCUGCACGUUAUAAGCGCUCCAUAAAUACUAUUAAGUGAAUAAUAAUAAUAAGGUUGGUAUUUGUUAAGCGCUUACUAUGUGCCGAGCACUGUUCUAAGCGCUGGGGUAGACACAGGGUCAUCAGGUGGUCCCCCAUGAGGCUCCCAGUCUUCAUCCCCAUUUUCCAGAUGAGGUCACGGAGGCCCAGCGAAGUGAAGUGACUUGCCCACAGUCCCCCAGCUGACAAGGGGCAGAGCUGGGAUUCGAGCCCACGACCUCUGCCUCCAAAGCCCGGGCUCUUUCCACCGAG
rnacentral:lncRNA from 1 species